CGACUUAUUUCCCCGAGGAGGCAUUUCUCGCACACACCCGGCCCCAGCCGUGGAGGGAGGAGGCUGAUGUGUUAUUUUUGUGUUUUUUGAAGCGAAUUAUCCUGUUGCCGAGGGAGCCAUGCAUCUAGAAACGGCUGGGGAAGGAGACGGUGGCUGAGUGGUUAGCGUGCCGGUCCUGCGUUCGCCGCGUCAUGGAUGAGGAGGGUUUGAAUCCACUGCUGCCACAGUCUACCUGUCCUGAAGACCACCACCAUCAUCCUGGACUGUAUGGGACUGUCCAAGGGAAAGCUAGAUGGGGCAGCUAUAAACACUUGCCGGCUUGGGCCCACCACCAGGCCCAGCCAAGGGAGGUUGGUGUAGCAGUGCCGGGAGGUUCCAUAACACAGGGCACUCCUUACCUCAACAACAGUCUCUUCACCGACAAGUAAUUCUUCACCAACAAGCUUUUCAGCAGCUUGGAGAAAUAGAGACAAGAGGAGGAAGAGGAAGAAGAAGAAGAAGAGGAAGAGGAGGAUGACUUUGAAGACCAGCAGACAGACAGAAAGACAUUGAUGAAAGAGGAAGAGGAGGAGGAGGAGGACAGGAAUUUCUUGAAUUGAAUGGCUGGCGUCUCGGUCUGCUUGCCUGUGGGACACCGCACACUCUGGAACAAGAAAGAACACCAAGAUGUCAAGUUCCUGCAGAAUCAGCCUCUUAGUGAAGGAAAUGUGCUCUAUUUAUUUAAUAAAUAAUUGACAAAAAAAUAAUUUUGUAUUUAUUUUAGAAAAAUUAUAGGGCUCA